rnacentral:rRNA from 1 species
AUGCCUGGGAGGUCGACCAUGGAAGCCAUUUUCUUGGUACGACAACUUAUGGAGAGAUAUAGGGAGCAAAAGAAGGACUUGCAUAUGGUGUUCAUUGACUUGGAGAAGGCCUAUGAUAAGAUACCGCGAAAUGUCAUGUGGUGGGCCUUGGAGAAACACAAAGUCCCAGCAAAGUACAUUACCCUCAUCGAGGACAUGUAUGAUAAUGUUGUGACAAGUGUUCGAACAAGUGAUGUCGACACUGAUGACUUCCCGAUUAAGAUAGGACUGCAUCAGGGGUCAGCUUUGAGCCCUUAUCUUUUUGCAUUGGUGAUGGAUGAGGUCACAAGGGAUAUACAAGGAGAUAUCCCAUGGUGUAUGCUCUUUGCGGAUGAUGUGGUGCUAGUUGACGAUAGUCGGACAGGGGUAAAUAGGAAGUUAGAGUUAUGGAGACAAACCUUGGAACCGAAAGGGUUUAGGCUUAGUAGAACUAAAACCGAGUACAUGAUGUGCGGUUUCAGUACUACUAGGUGUGAGGAG